rnacentral:lncRNA from 1 species
ACCCACACUGGAAACCAGAUGCCACUUGAUGGACUUAUACCGGAUUCCAAGCACACAACAAGAGGAUACGGAAUGCCAAUCGCUGGGCUUACAUCCAUCUCCUAACACACACAAAGACAAAACAAAAAGGGCGCCCGGAGAGAUCAGCUCAUCUCCUGCCUACGUACCUCAUCUGGUAUGAGGAUCAGGGCGACGUAGUUCCCCUACGGAGGGAUACAGGACUAGCCUAACCAGAUAACAGAGGGAGACACAACUAGGGAGACUACGACUCGAGCCUAG